rnacentral:rRNA from 1 species
UACGUAGGGGGCGAGCGUUGUCCGGAUUUAUUGGGCGUAAAGAGCUCGUAGGCGGUUCGAUAAGUCGGACGUGAAAUCUCCACGCUCAACGUGGAGGGGCCGUUCGAUACUGUCGUGACUCGAGUCCGGUAGGGGAGUGUGGAAUUCCCGGUGUAGCGGUGAAAUGCGCAGAGAUCGGGAGGAACACCCGUAGCGAAGGCGACUUUCUGGUCUAUAACUGACACUGAGGCGCGAAAGCGUGGGGAGCAAACAGG